GCCUGGGUGGCUCAGUCAGUUGAGUGUCUGACUUCAGCUCAGGUCCUGAUCUCACCACUCGUGGGUUUGAGCCCCCAUCAGGCU
rnacentral:tRNA from 1 species